CCCACACUGUAUGCUCUGCCU
rnacentral:miRNA from 1 species